UUGCAAGAUCAGCUUCUUGUUUGGACUUCGAAACUGAAACCUGGUCCAGGCAAUCGGCAAAUCAUCCUGCCAUCUUGCGAUACUGUAUCCAAGCCAGCUUAAACUCACCUGGAUCUGAUGUCCUGAUUUUCUGGGCCCUUUCGGCUGGCACAUGC
rnacentral:snoRNA from 1 species